rnacentral:rRNA from 1 species
AACGCUAGCUACAGGCUUAACACAUGCAAGUCGAGGGGCAGCAUGAACUUAGCUUGCUAAGUUUGAUGGCGACCGGCGCACGGGUGAGUAACACGUAUCCAACCUGCCGAUGACUCGGGGAUAGCCUUUCGAAAGAAAGAUUAAUACCCGAUGGCAUAGUUCUUCCGCAUGGUAGAACUAUUAAAGAAUUUCGGUCAUCGAUGGGGAUGCGUUCCAUUAGGUUGUUGGCGGGGUAACGGCCCACCAAGCCUUCGAUGGAUAGGGGUUCUGAGAGGAAGGUCCCCCACAUUGGAACUGAGACACGGUCCAAACUCCUACGGGAGGCAGCAGUGAGGAAUAUUGGUCAAUGGACGAGAGUCUGAACCAGCCAAGUAGCGUGAAGGAUGACUGCCCUAUGGGUUGUAAACUUCUUUUAUACGGGAAUAAAGUGAGGCACGUGUGCCUUUUUGUAUGUACCGUAUGAAUAAGGAUCGGCUAACUCCGUGCCAGCAGCCGCGGUAAUACGGAGGAUCCGAGCGUUAUCCGGAUUUAUUGGGUUUAAAGGGAGCGUAGGCGGACGCUUAGGUCAGUUGUGAAAGUUUGCGGCUCAACCGUAAAAUUGCAGUUGAUACUGGGUGUCUUGAGUACAGUAGAGGCAGGCGGAAUUCGUGGUGUAGCGGUGAAAUGCUUAGAUAUCACGAAGAACUCCGAUUG